rnacentral:rRNA from 1 species
UCCUGCCGGAGGCCAUUGCUAUCGGAGUCCGAUUUAGCCAUGCUAGUUGCACGGGUUUAGACCCGUGGCGAAAAGCUCAGUAACACGUGGCCAAGCUACCCUGUGGACCAGAAUAACCUCGGGAAACUGAGGACAAUUCUGGGUAACGCUCCCCUAUUGGAAUAUGGGGAGCUGGAAAUGCGUUAUGCGCCACAGGAUGCGGCUGCGGCCGAUUAGGUUGACGGUGGGGUAACGGCCCACCGUGCCCAUAAUCGGUACGGGUUGUGAGAGCAAGAGCCCGGAGACGGAAUCUGAGACAAGAUUCCGGGCCCUACGGGGCGCAGCAGGCGCGAAACCUUUACACUGCACGACAGUGCGAUAGGGGGACUCCGAGUGCGAGGGCAUAGAGCCCUCGCUUUUGUGUACCUUAAGGUGGUACAAGAAUAAGGGCUGGGCAAGACCGGUGCCAGCCGCCGCGGUAAUACCGGCAGCCCAAGUGAUGGCCGAUAUUAUUGGGCCUAAAGCGUUCGUAGCUGGCCAGACAAGUCCGUUGGGAAGUCCGCAUGCUUAACGUGCGGGCGUCCAGCGGAAACUGUCCGGCUUGGGACCGGAAGACCCGAGGGGUACGUCCAGGGUAGGAGUGAAAUCCCGUAAUCUUGGACGGACCACCUGUGGCGAAAGCGCCUCGGGAAGACGGAUCCGACAGUGAGGAACGAAAGCCAGGGUCUCGAACCGGAUUAGAUACCCGGGUAGUCCUGGCUGUAAACGAUGUCCGCUAGGUGUGACGCAGGCUACGAGCCUGCGUUGUGCCGUAGGGAAGCCGUGAAGCGGACCGCCUGGGAAGUACGUCUGCAAGGAUGAAACUUAAAGGAAUUGGCGGGGGAGCACUACAACCGGAGGAGCCUGCGGUUUAAUUGGACUCAACGCCGGACAUCUCACCAGCACCGACAGCAGUAAUGACGGUCAGGUUAAUGAUCUUACCCGAGCUGCUGAGAGGAGGUGCAUGGCCGCCGUCAGCUCGUACCGUGAGGCGUCCUGUUAAGUCAGGCAACGAGCGAGACCCGCACCCUUAGUUGCCAGCAGCAUCCACGUGAUGGCUGGGUACACUAGGGGGACUGCCGCUGCUAAAGCGGAGGAAGGAACGGGCAACGGUAGGUCAGUAUGCCCCGAAUGUGCUGGGCAACACGCGGGCUACAAUGGCCGAGACAGUGGGACGCGACCCCGAGAGGGGAAGCUAAUCUCUAAACUCGGUCGUAGUUCGGAUUGAGGGCUGAAACUCGCCCUCAUGAAGCUGGAUUCGGUAGUAGUCGCGUGUCAGAAGCGCGCGGCGAAUACGUCCCUGCUCCUUGCACACACCGCCCGUCAAAGCACCCGAGUGGGGUUCGGAUGAGGCCACCAUCCGGUGGUCGAAUCUGGGCUCCGCAGGGGGGCUUAAG